UCCCACUGCAUCCUCUGCCUUAUUGUGAUGGGAAGGAGAGACAGGAAAGGGUAGGAUGAAAGAAGGUACAUGAAGCCACGUUUGCUGUGGGAACAAAGAUUUUCACUCACUGGGCUGAAGAUGGUUUCUAGCUGAGAGUAAGAACUGAUACAGCUUAGCCACAACAGGGCAAAGUACAAAGGAGCUUCAGAAGUUCAGGC